AGUGAACGCUGGCGGCGUGCCUAAUACAUGCAAGUCGAACGGAGUGACGCACGGGUGAGUAAUGUAUAUCUAAUCUUCCCUACACUAGAGGACAACAGUUGGAAACGACUGCUAAUACUCUAUAGUGUAGGAUGAGGCUAUAUUGUAUCAGCUAGUUGGUGAGGUAAUGGCUCACCAAGGCUAUGACGCAUAACUGGUCUGAGAGGAUGAUCAGUAACACCGUAACUGAGACACGGUUCAGACUCCUACGGGAGGCAGCAGUAGGGAAUAGUGCUCAAUGGGCGAAACCCUGAAGCAGCAUCGCCGCGUGGAGUAUGACACUUUUCGGAGCGUAAACUCCUGUUGUUAGGGAAGCGGUACCUAACGAAUAAGCACCGGCUAACUCCGUGCCAGCAGCCGCGGUAAUAC
rnacentral:rRNA from 1 species